rfam:Pseudomonas aeruginosa PAO1, complete genome.
AGCCUAGCAAGGGUCCGGGUUCACCGAAAUCUAUCUCAUUUGCUAGUUAUAAAAUUAUGAAAUUUGCAUAAAUUCUUCAGCUUCCUAUUUGGAGGAAGUGAAGAUGAUCG